ACAGCUGGUUGAGUGGCCUUAUACAGCUGGUUGAGUGGUCUUUAUACAGCUGGUUGAGUGGCCUUAUACAGCUGGUUGAGUGGCCUUUAUACAGCUGGUUGAGUGGCCUUCUACAGCUGGUUGAGUGCGGUCUUUGUGCCUGCAUCAGUCUAUGGUGGUAAAUAGACAGCUUUGUAAAAUAUAGAUGAAAACUGUCUUGGUAAAUAGUGUGGAUUUGGACCUGGCCCAGUAUCAGCAGUAAAUCCUUUGAGUCCGAUUCAUUAAAGAAGAAAUAUUCUUCCAGUAUGAGGUGAGUAAUCUCUGUCCUGAUGUCCAGAAGCUCUUCUUGGUCAUAACAGACGGUGGCAGAAAUAUUAUGUACAAAAGAAGUUACAAACGCGAAAAAACACAUGAAAUACCACAAUUGGUUAAGAUCCGGUGCCAUUAUGCAGCCUUCGUAAGAAACAGAGCAGUGUAGCUCAUGCCUUUCAUGCAACAUUUUCAAAUCAUCAUUCGAGUCACAUCACGCAGCCUUGGAGUGUAUUAAAAAUCAAAACAUCAACCUUUGUAGAACAGCUGAGGUUACAUUAAUAACUCUACAUGAAGAAGAUCGGAGGACCAGUUUCUUUGUUGACCUCUAAGCACAGAACAGCCGGAUGUGCCUCACUCCCUCGGAAAUCGACGGGGGAAAAUAUUAUUUCUGUUUUAAUUCAGCUCUGUUCAAUUCUAUUCUUCUUACUACAAAAUCAUAUAAAAUAAUGCCACAGAAAUUCUAAGCAAAUCCUGUCUGCUAAAUGAACUAGUGUAGUCCACAGCCAUAUGGAAUAGCCAGAUUGGGGCCGAACGAAGGGAAAACUCAGAAUAUGCAAUUCUGUUCUUCUGAAAUAAACUACAUUUUCUUCAUAGCAUGUUUCUUUAGACCUGUCUAAAAUAAAUAAUGGAUUUAUUGUGAAGGUGUAGGCUAUGUUACAUGGAUUUAUUGUGAAGGUGUAGGCUAUGUUACAUGGAUUUAUUGUGAAGGUGUAGGCUAUGUUACAUGGAUUUAUUGUGAAGGUGUAGGCUAUGUUACAUGGAUUUAUUGUGAAGGUGUAGGCUAUGUUACAUGGAUUUAUUGUGAAGGUGUAGGCUAUGUUACAUGGAUUUAUUGUGAAGGUGUAGGCUAUGUUACAUGGAUUUAUUGUGAAGGUGUAGGCUAUGUUACAUGGAUUUAUUGUGAAGGUGUAGGCUAUGUUACAUGGAUUUAUUGUGAAGGUGUAGGCUAUGUUACAUGGAUUUAUUGUGAAGGUGUAGGCUAUGUUACAUGGAUUUAUUGUGAAGGUGUAGACUAUAUUACAUGGAUUUAUUGUGAAGGUGUAGGCUAUGUUACAUGGAUUUAUUGUGAAGGUGUAGGCUAUAUUACAUGGAUUUAUUGUGAAGGUGUAGGCUAUGUUACAUGGAUUUAUUGUGAAGGUGUAGACUAUAUUACAUGGAUUUAUUGUGAAGGUGUAGGCUAUGUUACAUGGAUUUAUUGUGAAGGUGUAGGCUAUGUUACAUGGAUUUCUUAGUGUUUUUAGGUCUGCAUCAGUGGCUACGAGUGGAAGCCGGGAGAUGUUCAUUACCAGUAGACAAGCAGUUAUUUGCAUGACAAUCACCGUCUGACAAAAUGUCAUGACCGCAACAGCUGUAGUUGUGUUAGUUACCUCGGCUGGAUGUGGCUGGCUGACAGCAUGGUAUCACUCUGUCAUGUCUGAGCUCUUUCUGACAAAGGACCAACUCACACUCACUCUAAUCAGGGUGGAAUGGAGUGUUUGGGGUUGACUCCUAUUCGACUCAAACCAACCAACCAGGGCUCAGGCCCAAGACUCGAACCAACCAACCAGGGCUCAGGCCCAAGACUCGAACCAACCAACCAGGGCUCAGGCCCAAGACUCGAACCAACCAACCAGGGCUCAGGCCCAAGACUCGAACCAACCAACCAGGGCUCAGGCCCAAGACUCGAACCAACCAACCAGGGCUCAGGCCCAAGACUCGAACCAACCAACCAGGGCUCAGGCCCAAGACUCGAACCAACCAACCAGGGCUCAGGCCCAAGACUCGAACCAACCAACCAGGGCUCAGGCCCAAGACUCGAACCAACCAACCAGGGCUCAGGCCCAAGACUCGAACCAACCAACCAGGGCUCAGGCCCAAGACUCGAACCAACCAACCAGGGCUCAGGCCCAAGACUCGAACCAACCAACCAGGGCUCAGGCCCAAGACUCGAACCAACCAACCAGGGCUCAGGCCCAAGACUCAAACCAACCAACCAGGGCUCAGGCCCAAGACUCGAACCAACCAACCAGGGCU